UACAUGGGGUGCAAACGUUGCUCGGAAUUAUUGGGCGUAAAGCGCACGUAGGCGGCUUGUUAAGUCGGAUGUGAAAUCCCUCGGCUCAACUGAGGAAGUGCAUCCGAAACUGGCAAGCUUGAGUACGAAAGAGGGUCGCGGAAUUCCCGGUGUAGAGGUGAAAUUCGUAGAUAUCGGGAGGAACACCGGUGGCGAAGGCGGCAUCCUGGACCAAUUCUGACGCUGAGGAGCGAAAGCCAGGGGAGCAAACGGG
rnacentral:rRNA from 1 species